AACAAAAAUUGUACAAAACGAAGCCUCUGCUGUAUGAUCUCUUUAGAAGCAAUUCUCCUUGAGGCGAUAGUUGUGACCCUGGGAGAGAGUGGCAGGAGUGCUGUCGGAGUGGUGGCAGAAGAGGCAAGACGAAACCUGGCAAACUGGCUGCACGCACUUGACCCAUCCCGGGACCUGAGUUUAAGAGUCUGCCCCGGAGUCGAGCAGACCCCUGGGUGGGAAGGCCCCCUACUCCUGACAUUUUCAUACCGACUCGUGCAGAUCCUCCACCCCAGCCAUCCCCAAUUUGCGCGGUUGCUCUGAGGAAGGGGUUGGUGAAUAUCGCCCUCUCCCGGAUCCCUGAAAACUCUCCCCAGCCAGCUGAAUCCGCUCCUUUCCAAGUUCGGCGUCCUGCAUGCGGGACCUCUAGCCCAAGGCGUCCGUGCCCGCUGCGAGUCCCCUUUCCCCAGGCCGAGGACUCCAGUCUCGGAUCCCGCACCUGGGCCUCGAUCUGCGGAGCUUAAAAUUAAGCAGCAGGGAGACAGCUGAGUCCAGCUGCUUGCCCCAUUGACAGCCCUGCCUCCCAAGUUGGGUUCAUCUCUGACUAUCUGGUUGGUACAUGACGUCAGCCCAGAUCCGGGUGUGCUGCUCCAGAGGUGAUAAAACCCGCUCCCUGCCACUGGCUUACCCUUUAUCAACUCAAAGCUGGUAAAAGCCAGGCUGGAUGGAGGUGGGUGAUUACCAAGCCGACACAGACACUCACUCUCUCACUUUCUCCUUACUCACCCAGUGCUUCCACCUCCAUUCAGGCAAACAUCUUGAUUUACUUGGAGACCCUAGCAGUUUCCCCCUCUAUGCUGCCUGACCUUUGGGAAUGUUCUUGUGACCAGUCAGCGGAUGGGGGAAUCAGGAACCUACUAGGACUUGAAUAAUAGAAAAUCUGUAGGAUUUGGCUUCUCUAGGAUUUGCAUAAUAGAAAAUCUCAAUAAUGGAAAACCAGUGUGCACGAUAAAAAGAUAUUCAUGUACUUUUACCAAUGGUUCUAUAAAAGACAUGAUUAAGAUGAUAAUUCCUGAAACCUGGGUGGUUUUACUUUAUUUUUAUUAUAGAAGAAGCCAGAAGACUAUAUCCAUCAGAGAUGACCUGCCAAUUGUAUUGUAUAACCCCCUGCAUGCUGGCAUCUGAGCUUUCACAAAGGUCAUCACUUUAAUCAUUUUAAUAAUAGGUAAGGAAUAGAAUGUGUAACUUUAGGCACAGUAUGAGUUCUUUGACUCCUCCCUUUAAAUUUGUUUUACAGCCUAAUUCUUUUAUUUUUUAUUGAAGUAUAGUCGAUUUACAAUGUUGUGUUUCUGGUGUAAAGCAUAGUGAUUCAGUUAUACAUAAAU